rnacentral:tRNA from 1 species
GGAGAGAUGCCUGAGCGGCUGAAAGGGCAGUCCUGGAAAGACUGUAGGGUUUAACGACUCUCGAGGGUUCGAAUCCCUCUCUCUCCGCCA